GCGGGCGUGGUGGAAUUGGUAGACACGCUGGAUUUAGGUUCCAGUGGCUUGCGCCGUGGGGGUUCAAGUCCCUCCGCCCGCACCA
rnacentral:tRNA from 4 species